UACAUGGGGUGCAAACGUUGCUCGGAGUUAUUGGGCGUAAAGCGCACGUAGGCGGUUCGUUAAGUCGGAUGUGAAAGCCCUCGGCUCAACUGAGGAAGUGCACCCGAAACUGGCGAGCUUGAGUACGAAAGAGGAUCGCGGAAUUCCCGGUGUAGAGGUGAAAUUCGUAGAUAUCGGGAGGAACACCGGUGGCGAAGGCGGCGAUCUGGGUCGAUACUGACGCUGAGGUGCGAAAGCGUGGGGAGCAAACAGG
rnacentral:rRNA from 1 species